AACGCUGGCGGCGUGCCUAAUACAUGCAAGUCGGACGCACUUUCGUUGAUUGAAUUAGAGAUGCUUGCAUCGAAGAUGAUUUCAACUAUAAAGUGAGUGGCGAACGGGUGAGUAACACGUGGGUAACCUGCCCAGAAGUGGGGGAUAACACCUGGAAACAGAUGCUAAUACCGCAUAAUAAAAUGAACCGCAUGGUUUAUUUUUAAAAGAUGGCUUCGGCUAUCACUUCUGGAUGGACCCGCGGCGUAUUAGCUAGUUGGUGAGAUAAAGGCUCACCAAGGCUGUGAUACGUAGCCGACCUGAGAGGGUAAUCGGCCACAUUGGGACUGAGACACGGCCCAGACUCCUACGGGAGGCAGCAGUAGGGAAUCUUCCACAAUGGACGAAAGUCUGAUGGAGCAACGCCGCGUGAGUGAUGAAGGCUUUAGGGUCGUAAAACUCUGUUGUUGGAGAAGAACGUGUGUGAGAGUAACUGCUCAUGCAGUGACGGUAUCCAACCAGAAAGCCACGGCUAACUA
rnacentral:rRNA from 1 species